rnacentral:misc_RNA from 1 species
UCCGGCUUGUCGCCGGCGGUCCCUUUAGAGUGCCCAACUUAAUGAUGGCAACUAAAGGAGAGGGUUGCGCUCGUUGCGGGACUUAACCCAACAUCUCACGACACGAGCUGACGACAGCCAUGCAGCACCUGUCUCCGCGCCCCUUGCGGGGACUGUCCAUCUCUGGACAUGGCACGGGAUGUCAAACCCUGGUAAGGUUCUGCGCGUUGCGUCGAAUUAAACCACAUGCUCCACCGCUUGUGCGGGCCCCCGUCAAUUCCUUUGAGUUUCAACCUUGCGGCCGGACUCCCCAGGCGGGACGCUUAAUGCGUUAGCUGCGCCACUGAUAAGCAUGCUUACCAACGGCUAGCAUCCAUCGUUUACGGCGUGGACUAC